rnacentral:rRNA from 1 species
UACGUAGGGGGCUAGCGUUGUCCGGAAUCAUUGGGCGUAAAGCGCGUGUAGGCGGUCCGGUAAGUCCGCUGUGAAAGUCGAGGGCUCAACCCUCGAAUGCCGGUGGAUACUGUCGGGCUCGAGUACGGGAGAGGCGAGUGGAAUUCCUGGUGUAGCGGUGAAAUGCGCAGAUAUCAGGAGGAACACCAAUAGCGAAGGCAGCUCGCUGGGACGUUACUGACACUGAGGCGCGAAAGCGUGGGGAGCGAACAGG